GACAAACGCUGGCGGCGUACCUAAGACAUGCAAGUCGAACGGGACUCAUCCGCCUUCGGGUGGGGAGUCGAGUGGCGGACGGGUGGAGUAACGCGUGGGAACCGUGUCACCAAGUGGGGGAGUAACGGUGGGAAACCGCCGCUAAUACCGCAUACGAUCAGCGAUGAUCAAAGCCUCGAGAGAGGCGCUGGGUGAGGGGCCUGCGUCCGAUUAGCUCGUUGGUAGGGUAACGGCCUACCAAGGCGACGANCGGUAGCUGGUCUGAGAGGAUGGUCAGCCACACUGGGACUGAGACACGGCCCAGACUCCUACGGGAGGCAGCAGUUAGGAAAUUUUCUACAAUGGGGGAAACCCUGAUGGAGUAACGCCGCGUGGAGGAUGACGGCCUUCGGUUG
rnacentral:rRNA from 1 species